rnacentral:rRNA from 1 species
GAUGAACGCUAGCGGCAGGCUUAACACAUGCAAGUCGAGGGGCAGCGUGGGGCAGCAAUGCUCUGACGGCGACCGGCGGAAGGGUGCGUAACACGUGAGCGACUUGCCCGUCACAGGGGGAUAACCGGCGGAAACGGCGACUAAUACCCCAUAUGCUGCGAUGCUGCAUGGCAUUGCAAUGAAAGAUUCAUCGGUGGCGGAUAGGCUCGCGGGACAUUAGCUAGACGGCGGGGCAACGGCCCACCGUGGCGACGAUCCGUAGCUGGUCUGAGAGGAUGAUCAGCCACACUGGAACUGAGACACGGUCCAG